rnacentral:tRNA from 1 species
GCGCCCAUAGUUCAACGGAUAGAGCGCGACCCUGCGAAGGUCGAGAUGUAGGUUCGAUUCCUACUGGGCGCA